AGGAACUAUAGGUACAACCGUGGGUGGUAAAUUCUUUUUCUUUUUUUUGAAUUUUAAAUCUCGAAUGCUUGAUUAUUGAGAAUGUGAUUGAUAUGUCUUGACAGGGUAACUGUACUUGCAGCCAUAGUGGGCAGUCCUUCGUUCUCUCUCUCUUUUGAGUUUAAAAUUGGAAUGCUAAGAAUGUGAUUGCCCAAUUCCUUGGCGGAGGACAACUAUACCUUUGCAAGCCGUGGUGGGUAAAUCCUAUGCUUGUUUUUAAUUUUAAAUUCUCAAAUGAUGAGAAUUUGAUUGCCUAGUUGUAAGAUGUUACAAUAUUCUAUUUGAGUUCAAUGAAGUUGAGAAUGUGAUUGACGUGUUAAAAUUUGAAUGAUAAGAAAAAGUGUUGACCCAUUCCUGGCCUAGGAAGUGUAUUGCAGCCGUGGUGGGCAACUCAUUCUCUUUAUUUUUUAAUUUUAAAUCUUGAUGCUGAUAAUUUGAUUGUUAGUUAUAGAUGUAACAUAUCCUUAUUUGAGUUCAACAUGACAUGUUGAGAAUGUUGAUUGAUAGUUUCAGGCGGGGUAACUGUCGGUUUGCAGCCAUAAUGGGCCAAUCAUUUCUCUCUCUUUGAGUUUAAAAUGGGAAUGCUUUGAAUGUAAUUUACCCAUUUCAUUGCGGAGGAACUGUGUUGCAGCCGUGGAAGGUUAAAUCCUUUUUUUUGUUUUUUAAUUAAUCUCCAAAUGCUAAGAAUUUGAAUGUCUCGUUUCUCGAUGUUAAAUAUUUUUUAUUGAGUCACAUGAAAUGUUGAGAAUGGAAUGAUACGUUUCUUUGCGGGGUUAACUGUAGGGGUAAACUAUAGUGGGCCAAUCCUUUUUUUCUCUCUCUCUUUUGAGUUAAAAUUUGAUGCUAGAAUGUGAUUAUCCCAUUUCCUGGCGUGGACAACUGUAGUUGCAACCCCCCCAUGGGUGAGUAAGCAUUUUUUUAUUUUUUAAUUUUAAAUCUCGAAUUUGUGAAUUACGAUUGUCUAGUUCUUGAUGUAACAAUAUUAUUAUUUGAGUUCACAUGACAGGUGAGAAUAUAUGAUAUGUUUCUUGGCGGGGGUAACAUAGUUGCACCCAUAGUGAGCUAAUCAAUCUUUUUCUCUCUCUUUCGAGUUAAAAUGGAAUGCUGAGACUGUGGUGACCCAUACCUUGCGAGGCAACUAUAGUUGACAGCCCUGGUGGGUAAAUCCUUCUCUUUGUUUUUGAAUUUUAAAUCGCGAAUGCUGAGAAUUUGAUUAUCUAGUUUCUAAAAAGGUACAAUAUUUUUUAUUUCAGUUCACAUGAACAUGUGAGAAUGUGAAUUGAUUGUUUCUGACGGGUUAACUAUAGUGCACCCAUAGGGUGCCAAACCUUUCUUUUUCUCUCUUUUGAGUUUAAAUUGAAUGAUAGAAGUGAUUAACCCAUUCCUUGGCUAGGCAAGUGUGUUGUAGUCGUGGAGGCAUUAUCCAUUCUAUUUGUUUUUAAUUUAAUCUCAAAUGCUGCGAAUUUGAUUGUAUAGUUUCUAGAUGUACAAUAAGUUAUUGAAGUUCACAGACAUGUAGAUGUGAUUAAUUGUUUCUGGGCGUGUAUAACUGUUGUUGCAAACCAUAGUGGGGCAAACCCUCCUUCGCUCUCUUUUGAGUUAAAUUGAAAUGCGAAGAAUGUGAUUGACCUGUCCUUGGCGAGGCAACUGUGUAGGUUGCGCCGUGGUGAGUAAUCAUUUCUCUUAUUUUUUAUUUUAAAUUUUGAAUUCUGAGAAUUUAAUUGUCUAGUUUUUAAAUGUUAUAAUAUUUUUUAUUUGAGUUCACAGGCAUAUUGAGAAUGUAAUUACUAUGUUUCUUGACGGGGGUAACUGUAGUUGCAGCCACAGUUGGCCAAUCCUUUCUUUCUCUCUCUUUUGAGUUUAAAAUUAGAAUGUUAAGAAUGUGAUUGACCCAUUCCUUGGCGAGGCAACUAUAGUUACAACCGUGGUGGGUAAAUUCUUUUUCUUUUUUUUUUAAAUUUUAAUAUCGGAAUGCUGAUUAUUUGAGAAUGUGGUGAUAAUGUUUCUUGACAGGGUAACUGUUACUUGCAGCCAAGUGGGGCAGUCCUUUCUUCUCUCUCUCUUUGGAGUUUAAAAUUGAAUGCUAGAAUGUGAUUGCCCCAUUCCUUGGCGAGGACAAAUAUAUGUGCCGCCGUGGUGGGUAAACUAUGCUUUGUUUUUUAAUUUUAAAUCUCAAAUGAUGAGAAUUUGAUUGCCUAGUUUAGAUGUUACAAUAUUUUCUUAUUUGAGUUCCAUGACAAGUGAGAAUGUGAUGAGGUUAAAAAUGGGAAGAUAAGAAGUGAUUGACCCAUUCCUUGGCUAGGCAAGUGUAGUUGCAGCCGUGGUGGGCAAAUCCAUUCUCUUUAUUUUUUAAUUUUAAAUCUUGAAUGCUGAUAAUUUGAUUGUUUAGUUUCUAGAUGUAACAAUAAUCCUUAUUGAGUUCACAUGACAUGUUGAGAAAUGUGAAUGAUAUGUUUCAUGGCGGAGGUAACUGUAGUUGACAGCAUAAAUGGGGCCAAGCAUUUCUCUCUCUUUGAGUUUAAAAUUGGAAUGCUUUGAAGGUAAUUUCCCAUUCAUUGGCGAGGCACUGUUAGUUGCAGCCGUGGAAGGUAAAUCUUUUUUGUUUGUUUUUUAAAUUUAAUCUCAAUUGCUAAGAAUUGAACUGUCUAGUUUCUGAUGUUAAAAAUUUUUUAUUUGAGUUCACAUGAAUGUUGAGAAGUGAAUGUACGUUUUUGCGGGGUAACUGUAGUGGUAACUAUAGUGGCCAAUCCUUUUUUUCUCUCCUCUUUUGAGUUUAAAAAUGGAUGCAAGAUUGUGAUAUCCAUUCCUUGCGUGACCAACUGUGUUGCAACCGUGGUGAGUAAGUCAUUUUGUUUUUUUUUAAUUUUAAUCUCGGGAAAUGUGGUGAAUUUGAUGUUAGUUUCUUGAUGUAACAUAUUUAUAUUUGAGUUACAUGAAUGUUGAGGAAUAUAAGUGAUAUGUUUCUUGGCGGGGGUAACUAUAGUUGCACCCAUUAGUGAGCUAAUCAAUCUUUUUCUCUCUCUUUCGAGUUUAAAAUUGAAUUGCUGAGACUGUGGUUGACCCAACCUUGGCGAGGCAACUAUAGUUGCACCCUGGUGGGUAAAAAUCCUUUCGCUUUGUUUUUGAAUUUUAAAUCCGAAGCUGAGAAUUGAUUAUAUAGUUCUAAGUUACAAUAUUUUUAUUGAGUUACAUGACAUGUUGAGAAUGUGAUUGAUAUUUUGUUUCUUGACGGGUUAACUAUAGUUGCCACCCAAAGUGUGCGCAAACCUUUCUUUUUCCUCUCUUUUGAGUUUAAAAUUGGAAUGAUAAGAAAGUGAUUAACCAUUUCCUUGUAGCAAGUGUAGUUGUAGUCGUGGUAGGUUAUCAUUCUAUUGUUUUUAAUUUUAAUCUCAAAUGCUCGAAAUUGAUUGUCUAGUUUCUAGAUGUUACAAUAUGUAUUAUUGAAGUUCACAUGGACAGUGAUGAAGGUGAUUAAUUGUUUCUGGGCGUGUCUAAACUGUGUUGCAAAACCAUAGUGGCAAAACCCUCUAUUUCGCUCUCUUGAGUUUUAAAAUUGGAAAUGCGAGAAUGUGAUUGACAUGUUCCUUGGCGAGGCAACUGUAGUAGGUGCAGCCGUGGUGAGUAAAAUCAUUCCUUUAUUUUUUAAUUUUAAAUUUUGAAUUCUGAGAAAUUUAUGGUCUAAGUUUUUAAAAUGUUAUAUAUUUUUUUUGAGUUUCAAGGCAUAUUGAGAAUGUAAUUACUAUGUUUCUUGACGGGGGUAAACUUAGUUGCAGCCACAGUUGGCCAAUCCUUCUUUCUCUCUCUUUUGAGUUAAAAUUAGAAUGUAAGAUGUGAUUGACCCAUUCCUUGGCGAGGAACUUAUAGUUACAACCGUGGUGGGUUAAAUUCUUUUUCUUUUUUUUUUAAUUUUAAAUCUCGAAUGCUGAUUAUUUGAGAAUGUGAUUGAUAUGUUUCUUGACAGGGUAACUGUACUUGCAGCCAUAGUGGGGCAGUCCUUUCUUUCUCUCUCUCUUUUGAGUUUAAAAUUGGAAUGCUAAGAAUGUGAUUGCCCCAUUCCUUGGCGAGACAACUAUAUUUGCAGCCGUGGUGGGUAAAUCCUAUGUCUUUGUUUUUUAAUUUUAAAUCUCAAAUGAUGAGAAUUUGAUUGCCUAGUUUCUAGAUGUUACAAUAUUUCUUAUUUGAGUUCACAUGACAAGUUGAGAAUGUGAUUGACGUGUUAAAAUUUGAAUGAUAAGAAAGUGAUUGACCCAUUCCUUGGCUAGGCAAGUGUAGUUGCAGCCGUGGUGGGCAAAUCCAUUCUCUUUAUUUUUUAAUUUUAAAUCUUGAAUGCUGAUAAUUUGAUUGUUUAGUUUCUAGAUGUAACAAUAAUCCUUAUUUGAGUUCACAUGACAUGUUGAGAAUGUGAUUGAUAUGUUUCAUGGCGGAGGUAACUGUAGUUGCAGCCAUAAUGGGCCAAUCAUUUCUCUCUCUUUUGAGUUUAAAAUUGGAAUGCUUUGAAUGUAAUUUACCCAUUCAUUGGCGAGGCAACUGUAGUUGCAGCCGUGGAAGGUAAAUCCUUUUGUUUUGUUUUUUAAAUUUAAAUCUCAAAUGCUAAGAAUUUGACUGUCUAGUUUCUCGAUGUUAAAAUAUUUUUUAUUUGAGUUCACAUGAAAUGUUGAGAAUGUGAAUGAUACGUUUCUUUGCGGGGUAACUGUAGUGGUAACUAUAGUGGGCCAAUCCUUUUUUUCUCUCUCUCUUUUGAGUUUAAAAUUGGAAUGCUAAGAAUGUGAUUAUCCCAUUCCUUGGCGUGACAACUGUAGUUGCAACCGUGGUGAGUAAGUCAUUUUUUUUUAUUUUUUAAUUUUAAAUCUCAAUGUGUGAUUGAUGUAUAGUUCUUGAUGUAACAAUAUUUAUUAUUGAGUUCACAGACAUGUUGAGAAUAUAAUUGAUAUGUUUCUUGGCGGGGGUAAACUAUAGUUGCACCAUAGUGAAGCUAAAUCAAUUCUUUUUCUCUCUCUUCGAGUUAAAAUUGGAAUGCUGAGACUGUGGUGACCCAUAACCCUUGGCGAGGCAACUAUAGUUGCAGCCCUGUGGGUAAUCCUUUCUCUUUGUUUUUGAAUUUUAAAAUCUCGAAUGUAGAAUUUGAUUAUCUGUUUCUAAAUGAUUACAAUAUUUUUUAUUUCAGUUCACAUGACAUGUGAGAAUGUGAUUGAUAUGUUCUUGACGGGUUAACUAUCGUUGCACACAUAGUGUGCAAAACCUUCUUUUUCCUCUUUUUGAGUUUAAAAUUGGAAUGAUAGAAAUGAUAACCCAUUCCUUGCUAGGCAAGGUAGUGUAGUCGUGGUAAGCUUAUCCCUUCUAUUUGUUUUUAAUUUAAAUCUCAAUGCUGGCGAAUUUUGAUUGUCUAGUUUUCUAGAUGUUCCAAUAUUUAUUAUUUGAGUUCACAUGACUGUUAUGAUGUGAUUAAUUGUUUCUGGGCGUGUAUACUGUUGUUGUCAACCAUAGUGGGCAAACCCCUCUCUUUCUCUCUCAUGUUUUUUUUUUUUUUUGGUUGGGGGGGGUUUGUUUUGGUUUUUUGGGGGGGGGGGGGGGGAUUUUUUUUUUUUUUUUUUUUUUGAGUUAAAAUUGAAUGCGAGAUGUGAUUGACCUGUUUCCUUGGUGAGGCAACUGUAGUAGGUUGCAGCCGUGGUGAGUAAUCAUUUCUCUUAUUUUUAAUUUUAAAUUUGAAUUCUGAGAAUUAAUUGUCUAGUUUUUAAAUGUUAUAAUAUUUUUUAUUUGAGUUCACAGGCAUAUUGAGAAUGUAAUUACUAUGUUUCUUGCGGGGGUAAACUGUAGUUGCAAUCACGUUGGCCAAUCCUUUCUUCCUCUCUCUUUUGAGUAAAAUUAGAAUGUGUGUUAGGGGAAGAAUGUGAUUGACCCAUUCCUUGGGCGAGGCCACUAGAGUUACAACCGUGGUUGGGUAAAUCUUUUUCUUUUUUUUUUAAUUUUAAAUUCGAAUGCUGAUUAUUUGAGAAUGUGAUUGAUGGUUUCUUUACAUGGUAACUGUACUUGCAGCCCUAGUGGGCAGUCCUUUCCUUUCUCUCUCUCUUUUGAGUUUAAAAUUGGAAUGGCUAAGAUUGUGAUUGCCCCAUUUCCUGGGCAGACACACUAUAAUUUGCAGCCGUGGUGGGUAAAUCCGAUGUCUUUGUUUUUUAAUUUUAAAUCUCAAAUGAUGAGAGUGAUUGGCCUAGUUUCUAGAUGUUCAAUAUUCUUAUUUUAAUUACAUGACAAGUUGCAAUGUAUGACGUGUUAAAAUUUGAAUGAUAAGAACGUGCUGACCCAUUCCUUGGCUAGUCAAAAAAUGUGUAGUUGCAGCCAGUGUGGAGCAAAUCCAUUCUCUUUAUUUUUUUAAUUUUAAAUCUUGAAUGGCUGAUAAUUUGAUUGUUAGUUUCUAGAUGUAACCCAUAAUCCCUUAUUUGAGUUACAUGACAUGUUGAGAAUGUGAUUGAUAUGUUUCAUGGCGGAGGUAACUGUAGUUGCAGGCCAUAAUGGGCAAUCUUUUCUUCUCUUUUGAGUUUAAAUUGGAAUGCUUUGAAUGUAAUUUACCCAUCAUUGCGAGGCAACUGUAGUUGCAGCCGUGGAAGGUAAUCCUUUUUGUUGUUUUUUAAAUUUAAAAUCUCAAAUGCUAAGAUUUAGACUGUCUAGUUUCUCGGGCGAUGUUAAAAUAUUUUUUAUUGAGUUCACAUGAACAUGUUGCGAAUGUGAAUGAUACGUUUCUUUGGCGGGGUAACUGUAGUUGUACUAUAUGGGGCCAACCUUUUUUUCUCUCUCUCCUUUUGAGUUUAAAAUUGGAAUUCUAAGAAUGUGAUUAUUCCCAUUCUUGGCGUGACAACUGUAGUUGCAACCUUGGUGAGUAAGUCAUUUUUUUUUAUUUUUUAAAUUUUAAAUCUCGACAUGUUGUGAAUUUGAUUGUCUAGUUUCUUGAUUUGUGUAACAAUAUUAUUAUUUGAGUUCACAUGGACAUGUGAGAAUAUAAGUCUGAUUAUGUUCUUGCAGGGCGGGGGUAACUAUAGUUGCCACCCAAGUGAGCUAAUCAAUUCUUUUCUACUCUCUAUGUCGGAGUUUGGUAGACAAUGGAAGCUGCUGAGACUGGGGGGUUGACCCAUCAUACCUUGGCGACGCGCAAACUAUAGUUGCGCCCGGUGGGUAGGUAACUCCAGUUUCUCUUUGUUUUUGAAGUUUUAAUCUCGAAUGCUGAGAAUUUGAUUUAUCUAGUUCAUCAGAAAUGUUACAAUAUUUAUUGAGUUAGAUAUUGACCAGAUUGAGAAUGUGAUUGAUAUGUUUUAUGACGGGUAACUAUAGUUGCCCCAUUAUGUGUGACCAAAAACCUUUUCUUUUUUCCUCUCUUAUGAUUGUUUGUAAAUUGAAUGAUACCAGAAAGUGAUUCAACGAUUCCUUGGUAGGCAAGGUGUACUGUGUAAGGUGUAGUCGUGGUAGGCUAUCCAUUCUAUUUGUUUUUAAUUUUAAAAUCUCAACUGCAUGCGACAAUUUGAUUGUCUUCUAGUUUCAGAUGUGACAAAAUAUUUAUUAUUUGAGGUCACAGGACCUGUUAGAAUGUGAUUAAUUGGUUUUAUGGGCGGUUAUAAAUGUUGUUGGCCAACCCAUAGUGGGCAAAACCCUAUCUUUCGCUCUCCUUUUGAGUUAAAAUUGAAAUGCGAAGAAUUGUUGAUUGACCUGUUCCUUGGCGAGGCAAACUGUAGUAGGUUGCAAGCCCGUGGUGAGUAAAGCAGUAAACAUUUCUCUUUAUUUUUUAAUUUUAAAUUUUGGAAUUCUGAGAAUUUAAUGUUCGUUUUUAAAUGUUAUAAUAUUUUUAUUGAUCACAGGCCAUAUGAGAAAUGUAAUUACUAAGUUUCUUGACGGGUGGUAACUGGAGUUGACAGCCAAGUUGGCCAAUCCUUUCUUUCUCCUCUUUUGAGUUUAAAAAUUAGAAGUUAAGAAUGUGAUUGACACAUGUCCUUGGCGACCCCCGGCAACUAUGUCAACCGUGGUGGGCGGUAAAUUCUUUUUCUUUUUUUUUAAUUUUAAAUAUCGAAUGCUGAUUAUUUGAGAAUGUGAGGGAUAUGUUCUUGACAGCCGGUAAAAUUUACUUGCAGCCAUAGUGGGCAGGUCACUUCUUUCUCUCUCUCUUUUGAGUUUAAAAUUGGAAUGCUAAGAAUGUGAUUGCCCCAUUCCUCUGGCGAGACAAACUAUAUUUGACAGCAGUGGUGGGGUAAAUCCUACCUGGGUCUUUGUUUCAUUUUAAAUCUCAAAUGAUGAGAAUUUGAUUGCCUAGUUUCUAGAUGUUAGCAAUUUUUCUUAUUUGAUGUUCACAUGACAAGUUGAGAAGUAUUGACGUGUUAAAAUUGAAUGAUAAGACAGUGACUUGACCCAUUCCUUGGCUAGGCAAGGGUAGUGGCAGCCAGUGAGUGGGCAAAAUCCAUUCUCUUUUAUUUUUAAUUUUCAAUCUUGAAUUGCUGAUAAUUUGAUUGUUUAGUUUUCUAGAUGUAACCAAUAAUCANNNNNNNNNNNNNNNNNNNNNNNNNNNNNNNNNNNNNNNNNNNNNNNNNNNNNNNNNNNNNNNNNNNNNNNNNNNNNNNNNNNNNNNNNNNNNNNNNNNNAGUUUCUAUAUGUUACAAAUAUUUAUUUAUUUGAGUUCACAUGUACAUUUAUGAAUGUGAUUAAUUUGUUUCUGGGCGUGUAAUCUGUUGUUGCAACCAUAAAGUGGGCAAACCCUCUCUUGUCGCUCUCUUUUGAGUUUAAAAUUGAAAUGCGAAGAAUGUGAUUGACCUUUCUUGGCGAAAGGCAACUGUAGAGGUGCAGCCGUGGGGUGAGUAAAUCAUUUCUCUUUUUUUUUAAUUUUUAAAUUUUUGAAUUCUGAGAUUUAAUUGUCUAGUUUUAAUGUUAUAAAUAGUUUUGUAUUGAGUCACAGGCAUCUUGAGAAUGUAUUACAUGUUUCUUGACGGGGGUCUGUAGUUGCAAGCCACAGUUUGGCCAUCCUUUCUUUUCUCUCUCUUUGAGUUUAAAAUUAAAUGUUAAGAAUGUGAUUGACCAUUCCUUGGCGAGGCAAACUAUAGUUACAACCGUGGUGGGUAAUUCUUUUUCUUUUUUUUUUAAUUUAAAUCUCGAAUGCUGAUUAUUUUGAGACUGUGAUUGAGAUGUUUCUUUACCGGGUAACUGUAACUUGCGUCCAUAGUGGGGCAGUCCUUUCCUUUCUCUCAUCUCUCUCUUUUGAAGUUUAAAUUGAAUGCAAGAAGUUAUUGCCCCAUUCCUUGGGCGAGACAACAUAUUUUCAGUGCCGUGUUGGUUAAAAAUUCCUAUGUCGUUGUUUUUUAUUUUAGCAUCUCAAAUGAUGAGAAUUUGAUUGCCUAGUUUCUAGAUUUACCAUAUUUCUUAUUUGAGGUCACAUGACAAGUUUGAUAAAUGGAUUGACGGUGUAAAAUUUGAAUGAUAAGAAAGUGAUUGACCCAUUUCCCUUGGCUAGGCAAGUGUAGUUGCAGCCGUGGUGGGCAAAUCCAUUCUCUUUAUUUUUUAAUUUAAAUCUUGAUGCUGUAAUUUGAUUUGUUUGUGGUUCUAGAUGUAACAAUAAUCCUUAUUUGAGUUUCACAUUACAGUGUUUAGAAUGGAUUGUAUGUGUCAUGGCGGAGUAACUGUAGUUCGCCAUAAUGGGCCAAUCAUCAACAUUCUCUCUCUUUUGGGAGUUAAAUUGGAAUGCUUUGAAUGUAAUUUACCCAUUCAUUGGCGAGGCAACUGUAGUUGCACCAAGGCCGUUGGAAGGUAAAUCCUUUUUGUUUUGUUUUUUAAAUUUAAAUCUCAAAUGCUAAAAUUUGACUGUCUUUUUCCGAUUUUAAAAUAUUUUUUAUUUGAGUCACAUAAAUGUUAGAAUGUGAAUGAUAACGUUUCUUGCGGGGUAACUUUAGUGGUAACUAAUGUGGGCCAAUCCUUUUUUUUCUCCGCUCUCUUUUGAGUUUAAAAUUUGAAUGCUAAGAUGUGAAUUAUCCCCCAUUCCUUGGCGGGACAACGUAGUUGCAACCGUGUUAGUAAGUCAUUUUUUUUAUUUUUUAAUUUACAUCAUCGAAUGUUGUGAAUUUGAUUGUCUUUUCUUGAUGUAACAAUAUUUAUUAUUUGAGUUCACAUGACAUGUUAGAAUAUAAUUGAAUUUUUCUUGGCGGGGGUACUAUAGUUGCACCAUAAGUGAGCUAAUCAAUUCUGUUUCUCUCUCUUCGGUUUAGAAUUUGGAAUGGAUUGGCAUGCUGAGUGCUGAGACUGUGGUUGACCCAUAACCUUGCGAGCGCAACUAUAGUUGCAGCCCUGGUGGUUCAAAUCCUUUCUCUUUGUUUUUGAAUUUCAAAUCUCGUAAUGCUGAGAAUUUGAUUAUCUAGUUUUCUAAAUGUUACAAAGAUUUUUUAUUUGGUUCACCUGACAUGUUGAGAAUGGCUUUGGAUUUGUUUUCUUGACGUGUUUGAACUAUAGUUGCACCCAUAGUGUCCAAACCUUUUCUUUUUCCUCUCUGCGUUUAAAGUGGAAUGAUAAGAAAGUGAUUAACCCAUUCCUUGGCUAGGCAAGUAGUUUUUUGUGUCGUGGUAGGCUUUAUCCAUUCUAUUUGUUUUUAAUUGUUAAUCUCAAAUGCUGCGAAUUUGAUUGUCUAGUUUCUAGAUGUUACAAUAUUUAUUAUUUGAGUUCACAUGACAUGUUAUGAAUGUGAUUACUUUGUUUCUUUCUGGGCGUGUAUAACUGUUUGUUUGCAACCAUAGUGGGCAACACCCCUCUCUUUCCUCUCUCUUUUGAUUUUAAAAUUGACAUGCGAAGAUGUGAUUGACCUGUUCCUUGGCUAGGCAAUCUGUAGUAGGUUGCGCCGUGGUGAUAAAUCAUUUCUCUUUAUUUUUUUAAUUUUAAUUUUGAAUUCCUGAGAAUUUAAAUUGUCUAGUUUUUAAAUGUUAUAAUAUUUUUUAUUUGAGUUCACAGUCAUAUUGAGAAUUACUUCUAAAUGUUUCUUGACGGGGUAACUGUAGUUGCGCCACGUUGGCCAAUCCUUUCUUCUCCUCCCGUCUUGUUGAGUUUAAAUUAGAAUGUUAAGAUGUGAUUGAUCCAUUCCUUGGCGAGGCAACUUAGUUACAACAACCGUGGUGGGUAAAUUCUUUUCGUUUUUUUUUAUUUAAAUCUCGAAUGCUGAUUAUUUUGAAGAUGUGAUUGAUAUGUUUCUUUGACAUGGUACUUGUACUUGCAAGCCCUAGUGGGGCAGUCCUUUCUUUCUCUCCUCUUUUGCGUUUUAAAAUUGGAAUGCUAAGAAUUUGAAUUGCCCAUUCCUUUGGCGAGCAACUAUAUUUGCAAAGCCGUGGUGGGUAAUCCUAUGUCUUGUUUUUUAAUUUUAAAUCCUCAAUAUGAGAAUUUGAUUGCCUAGUUUCUAGAUGUUACAAUAUUUCUAUUGAGUUCACAUGACAUGAGAAUGUGAUUGACGUGUAAAAAUUUUGAAUGAUAAGAAAGUGAUGACCCAUUCCUUGGCUAUGCAGUGUAGUUGCAUCGGCCUGGUGGGCAAUCCAUUCUCUUUAUUUUUUAAUUUUAAAUCGUGAAUGCUGAAAUAAUCUUGAUUGUUUAGUUUUUCUAGAUGAACAAAUAAUCCUUAUUUGAGUUCACAUGACAUGUUGGAAUGGAUUGAUAUGUUUCAUGGCGGAGGUACUGUAGUUUCAGCCAUAAUGGGCCAAUCAUUUUCUCUCUCUUUUGAGUUUAAAAUUGGAAUGCUUUGAAUGUUUAGCCCAUUUUGGCGAGGCAACUGGAGUUGCAGCCGUGAAGGUAAAUCCCUUUUGUUUUGUGUUUUAAAUUUAAAUCUCAAAUGCUAGACAAUUUGACUGUCUAGUUUUCUCGAUGUUAAAAUAUUUUUAUUUGAGUUCCACUGAAAAUGUUGAGAAUGUGAAUGAUUCGUUCUUUGCGGGGGUAACUGUCGUGGUAACUAUAGUGGGCCAAUCCUUUUUUCUCUCUCUCUUUUGAGUUUAAAAUUGGAAUGUGCUAAGAAUGUGAUUAUCCCAUUCCGUGCGUGACAACUGUAGUUGCAAAUGUCACCCCGGUGGUGAGUAAAGGUCAUUUUUUUUGAUUUUUUAAUUUAAAUCUCGAAUGUUUGGAAUUUGAUUGUCUAUUGUCUUGAUGUAACAUAUUUUAUUAUUUGAGUUCACAUGACCUGUUGAGAAUAUUAAUUGAUAUGUUUCUUGGCGGGGUAACUUAGUUGCACCCAUAGUGAGCUAAUCAUUCUUUUUCUCUCUCUUCGAGUUUAAAAUUGGAAUGCUGAGCACUGUGGUUGACCCAUACCCUUGCGAUGCAACUUAGUUUCAGCCCCUGGUGGGUAAAUCCUUUCCUCUUUGUGUUUGAAUUUUAAAUCUCGAAUGCUGAGAAUUUGAUUAUCUAGUUUCUAAAUGUUACAAUAUUUUUUAUUUCAGUUCACAUGACAUGUUGAGAAUGUGAUUGAUAUGUUUCUU
rnacentral:lncRNA from 1 species